AACGAGCGCUGGCGGCAGGCCUAACACAUUCUUGUCGAGCGAAGCCUUCGGGCUUAGCGGCGGACGGGUGAGUAACGCGUGGGAACGUGCCCUUUGGUACGGAAUAGCCCCGGGAAACUGGGAGUAAUACCGUAUGUGGUCGAGAGACGAAAGAUUUAUCGCCAAAGGAUCGGCCCGCGGUGGAUUAGGUAGUUGGUGGGGUAAUGGCCUACCAAGCCGACGAUCCAUAGCUGGUUUGAGAGGAUGAUCAGCCACACUGGGACAGAGACACGGCCCAGACUCCAACGGGAGGCAGCAGUGGGGAAUCUUAGACAUUGGGGGAAACCCUGAUCUAGCCAUGCCGCGUGAUCGAUGAAGGCCUUAGGGUUGUAAAGAUCUUUCAGUGGGGAAGAUAAUGACUGUACCCACAGAAGAAGCCCCGGCUAACUCCGUGCCAGCCGCCGCAGUAA
rnacentral:rRNA from 1 species